AUUAGCUAGUUGGUAAGGUAAUGGCUUACCAAGGCAACGAUCAAUAGCUGUUCUUAGAGGAAGACCAGCCACAUUGGGACUGAGACACGGCCCAAACUCCUACGGGAGGCAGCAGUGGGGAAUCUUGCACAAUGGGGGAAACCCUGAUGCAGCGAUGCCGCGUGAGUGAAGAAGGCCCUUGGGUUGUAAAACUCUUUCGUCGGGGAAGAAAAUGACUGUACCCGAAUAAGAAGGUCCGGCUAACUUCGUGCCAGCAGCCGCGGUAAUACGAAGGGACCUAGCGUAGUUCGGAAUUACUGGGCUUAAAGAGUUCGUAGGUGGUUAAAAAAGUUGAUGGUGAAAUCCCAAGGCUCAACCUUGGAACUGCCAUCAAAACUUUUUAGCUAGAGUGUGAUAGAGGAAAGUGGAAUUUCUAGUGUAGAGGUGAAAUUCGUAGAUAUUAGAAAGAACAUCAAAAGCGAAGGCAACUUUCUGGAUCAUUACUGACACUGAGGAACGAAAGCGUGGGGAGCGAACAGGAUUAGAUACCCUGGUAGUCCACGCCGUAAACGGUGGGUGCUAGCUGUGGGCCACAUUCCACGUGGUCCGUGACGAAGUUAACACAUUAAGCACCCCGCCUGGGGAGUACGGCCGCAAGGCUAAAACUCAAAGGAAUUGACGGGGGCCCGCACAAGCGGCGGAGCAUGCGGAUUAAUUCGAUGCAACGCGAAGAACCUUACCAAGGCUUGACAUAUAGAGGAAAAGUGCAGAAAUGCACUCCCCGCAAGGUCUCUAUACAGGUGGUGCAUGGUUGUCGUCAGCUCGUGUCGUGAGAUGUUGGGUUAAGUCCCGCAACGAGCGCAACCCUCGUCCUAUGUUGCCAGCACGUAAUGGUGGGAACUCAUGGGAUACUGCCGGGGUCAACUCGGAGGAAGGUGGGGAUGACGUCAAAUCAUCAUGCCCCUUAUGUCUUGGGCUUCACGCAUGCUACAAUGGCCGGUACAGAGGGCUGCAAUACCGCAAGGUGGAGCGAAUCCCAAAAAGCCGGUCUCAGUUCGGAUUGAGGUCUGCAACUCGACCUCAUGAAGUCGGAGUCGCUAGUAAUCGUAGAUCAGCAACGCUACGGUGAAUACGUUCCCGGGCCUUGUACACACCGCCCGUCAAGUCACGAAAGUCGAUAACACCCGAAGCCGGUGGCCUAACCGCAAGGAGGGAGCCGUCGAAGGUGGGAUUGGUGAUUGGGACUAAGUCGUAACAAGGUAGCCGUA
rnacentral:rRNA from 1 species